AUUGAACGCUGGCGGCAUGCCUUACACAUGCAAGUCGAACGGUAACAGGUCUUCGGAUGCUGACGAGUGGCGAACGGGUGAGUAAUGCAUCGGAACGUGCCCAGUAGUGGGGGAUAGCCCGGCGAAAGCCGGAUUAAUACCGCAUACGACCUGAGGGUGAAAGGGGGGGAUCGCAAGACCUCUCGCUAUUGGAGCGGCCGAUGUCAGAUUAGCUAGUUGGUGGGGUAAAGGCCUACCAAGGCAACGAUCUGUAGUUGGUCUGAGAGGACGACCAGCCACACUGGGACGGAGACACGGCGCAGACUCCUACGGGAGGCAGCAGUGGGGAAUUUUGGACAAUGGGCGCAAGCCUGAUCCAGCAAUGCCGCGUGCAGGAAGAAGGCCUUCGGGUUGUAAACUGCUUUUGUCAGGGAAGAAAUCUUCUGGGUUAAUACCUCGGGAGGAUGACGGUACCUGAAGAAUAAGCACCGGCUAACUACGUGCCAGCCGCCGCCGUAAUAC
rnacentral:rRNA from 1 species